GGCAGGAGCAGCGUUGGCACCGGCGAACCAUGGCUGGGAUUUUCUAUUUCGCCCUCUUUUCGUGUCUCUUCGGGAUUUGCGACGCUGUCACCGGUUCCAGGGUGUACCCCGCGAAUGAAGUUACCUUACUGGAUUCCAGAUCUGUUCAGGGAGAACUUGGGUGGAUAGCAAGCCCUCUGGAAGGAGGGUGGGAGGAAGUGAGUAUCAUGGAUGAAAAAAAUACACCAAUCCGAACCUACCAAGUGUGCAAUGUGAUGGAACCCAGCCAGAAUAACUGGCUACGAACUGAUUGGAUCACCCGAGAAGGGGCUCAGAGGGUAUAUAUUGAGAUUAAAUUCACCUUGAGGGACUGCAACAGUCUUCCGGGCGUCAUGGGGACUUGCAAGGAGACGUUUAACCUGUACUACUAUGAAUCAGACAACGACAAAGAGCGUUUCAUCAGAGAGAACCAGUUUGUCAAAAUUGACACCAUUGCUGCUGAUGAGAGCUUCACCCAAGUGGACAUUGGUGACAGAAUCAUGAAGCUGAACACCGAGAUCCGGGAUGUAGGGCCAUUAAGCAAAAAGGGGUUUUACCUGGCUUUUCAGGAUGUGGGGGCCUGCAUCGCCCUGGUAUCAGUCCGUGUGUUCUAUAAAAAGUGUCCACUCACAGUCCGCAAUCUGGCCCAGUUUCCCGACACCAUCACAGGGGCUGAUACGUCUUCCCUGGUGGAAGUUCGAGGCUCCUGUGUCAACAACUCAGAAGAGAAGGAUGUGCCAAAAAUGUACUGUGGGGCAGAUGGUGAAUGGCUGGUACCCAUUGGCAACUGUCUAUGCAACGCUGGGCAUGAGGAGCGGAGCGGAGAAUGCCAAGCUUGCAAAAUUGGAUAUUACAAGGCUCUCUCCACGGAUGCCACCUGUGCCAAGUGCCCACCCCACAGCUACUCUGUCUGGGAAGGAGCCACCUCGUGCACCUGUGACCGAGGCUUUUUCAGAGCUGACAAUGAUGCUGCCUCCAUGCCCUGCACCCGUCCACCAUCUGCUCCCCUGAACUUGAUUUCGAAUGUCAACGAGACAUCUGUGAACUUGGAAUGGAGUAGCCCUCAGAAUACCGGUGGCCGCCAGGACAUUUCCUACAAUGUGGUAUGCAAGAAAUGUGGAGCUGGUGACCCCAGCAAGUGCCGACCCUGUGGAAGUGGGGUCCACUAUACCCCACAGCAGAAUGGCUUGAAGACCACCAAAGUCUCCAUCACCGACCUCCUAGCUCAUACCAAUUACACCUUUGAAAUCUGGGCUGUGAAUGGAGUGUCCAAAUAUAACCCUAGCCCAGACCAAUCAGUUUCCGUCACUGUGACAACCAACCAAGCAGCACCAUCAUCCAUUGUUUUGGUCCAGGCUAAAGAAGUCACAAGAUACAGUGUGGCACUGGCUUGGUUGGAACCAGAUCGGCCCAAUGGUGUAAUCCUGGAAUACGAAGUCAAGUAUUAUGAGAAGGAUCAGAAUGAGCGAAGCUAUCGUAUAGUUCGGACAGCUGCCAGGAACACAGAUAUCAAAGGCCUGAACCCUCUCACUUCCUAUGUUUUCCACGUGCGAGCCAGGACAGCAGCUGGCUAUGGAGACUUCAGUGAGCCCUUGGAGGUCACAACCAACACAGUGCCUUCCCGGAUCAUUGGAGAUGGGGCCAACUCCACAGUCCUUCUGGUCUCUGUCUCAGGCAGUGUGGUGCUGGUGGUAAUUCUCAUUGCAGCUUUUGUCAUCAGCCGGAGACGGAGUAAAUACAGUAAAGCCAAACAAGAAGCGGAUGAAGAGAAACAUUUGAAUCAAGGUGUGAGAACAUAUGUGGACCCCUUUACGUACGAAGAUCCCAACCAAGCAGUUCGAGAAUUUGCCAAAGAAAUUGACGCAUCCUGCAUUAAGAUUGAAAAAGUUAUAGGAGUUGGUGAAUUUGGUGAGGUAUGCAGCGGGCGUCUCAAAGUGCCUGGCAAGAGAGAGAUCUGUGUGGCUAUCAAGACGCUGAAAGCUGGUUAUACAGACAAACAGAGGAGAGACUUCCUGAGCGAGGCCAGCAUCAUGGGACAGUUUGACCAUCCGAACAUCAUUCACUUGGAAGGCGUGGUCACUAAAUGUAAACCAGUAAUGAUCAUAACAGAGUACAUGGAGAAUGGCUCCUUGGAUGCAUUCCUCAGGAAAAAUGAUGGCAGAUUUACAGUCAUUCAGCUGGUGGGCAUGCUUCGUGGCAUUGGGUCUGGGAUGAAGUAUUUAUCUGAUAUGAGCUAUGUGCAUCGUGAUCUGGCCGCACGGAACAUCCUGGUGAACAGCAACUUGGUCUGCAAAGUGUCUGAUUUUGGCAUGUCCCGAGUGCUUGAGGAUGAUCCGGAAGCAGCUUACACUACCAGGGGUGGCAAGAUUCCUAUCCGGUGGACUGCGCCAGAAGCAAUUGCCUAUCGUAAAUUCACAUCAGCAAGUGAUGUAUGGAGCUAUGGAAUCGUUAUGUGGGAAGUGAUGUCGUACGGGGAGAGGCCCUACUGGGAUAUGUCCAAUCAAGAUGUGAUUAAAGCCAUUGAGGAAGGCUAUCGGUUACCCCCUCCAAUGGACUGCCCCAUUGCACUCCACCAGCUGAUGCUAGACUGCUGGCAGAAGGAGAGAAGCGACAGGCCUAAAUUUGGGCAGAUUGUCAACAUGUUGGACAAACUCAUCCGCAACCCCAACAGCUUGAAGAGGACAGGGACGGAGAGCUCCAGACCUAACACUGCCUUGUUGGAUCCAAGCUCCCCUGAAUUCUCUGCUGUGGUAUCAGUGGGCGAUUGGCUCCAGGCCAUUAAAAUGGACCGGUAUAAGGAUAACUUCACAGCUGCCGGUUAUACCACACUAGAGGCUGUGGUGCACGUGAACCAGGAGUAAGUACUCAACGAUGUAACACGAAAGGGGACCUGGCAAGAAUUGGUAUCACAGCCAUCACGCACCAGAAUAAGAUUUUGAGCAGCGUCCAGGCAAUGCGAACCCAAAUGCAGCAGAUGCACGGCAGAAUGGUUCCUGUCUGAGCCAGUACUGAAUAAACUCAAAACUCUUGAAAUUAGUUUACCUCAUCCAUGCACUUUAAUUGAAGAACUGCACUUUUUUUACUUCGUCUUCGCCCUCUGAAAUUAAAGAAAUUUAAAAAAAUGUCUGCAGCGUUGCUUGGUGUACAGAUUGCUGAACCUGUGGGGCUUACAGAAAUGACUGCCGGUCAUCUGAAUUAGACCUGGAACAAAUCGUUUCUCAGAAGUACUUUUCUGUUCAUCACCAGUCUGUAAAAUACAUGUACCUAUAGAAAUAGAACACUGCCUCCGAGUUUUGAUGCUGUAUCUGCUGCCGGACACUGAGCUUCUGAGACAUCCUUGAUUCUCUUUCCAUGUGGAAUUACAACCAUUGUAUUUUGUUUGUGGCAUAAAUUACAGUCAUCUCUCUUUCACUGGAAUGAAGACCAUGCCCAGGAACAUGUUUUAAGGACUCAGCUGUGGCUUUUAGGGCUUGGUUCAUACCAUGGGGGAAAAAACAUCCUAGGAGAAAGCGACGUGGCUCAUUAGUGUUGCCUCUUCAGUGCUCAAGCCACCUGGUGAAUUCCUAUGACGCAGGGGGCUGGAAAGAAAGGGAAAGUGGAUUUAAAAAAAAAAAAUAUAUAUAUAUAUAUACAAAAAACCAAGCCCCAUAAUCCCUAACUGGACAAAUGAGGUCUGUUUCUUUGGGCCUGAGGCUGUGCCAUAUAAAGUCUUAUUUUAGGACUCUACAAACUUGUCCUAUCUUAUGGAUAGUGGGCUGUGACAAUCUGGAAUAGAGAACGUUCACACUUCGCUCCUUUAAAGGAGGGACCCCAGAUCUGCAAGGGAGUAGAUUCUGCUAUCUUGGCCUCACAGCCCUUCCUGUUGAUUACAAAACCCAUGGAAGAAAACAGAACACGCCCUUCUCAGUUCCGUCUAAAUGUGUUUCUUCUACUUCAGUUACGCCAGUUCUGGGGCAAAGACACUGACGAAACAACACCUAUACCUGAAAAAGAAUAAAUGUGUGACUUUCAAAUCCCCUUUCCCAGUGAAAGAAACAGCAAACACUUCAGAUUCAGCAUCUGUUCUCCAGUUGCACUGAGGAAUGCACUGUCUCACAGCACCAGCUCUGCAGAGCCCUUGCCCCCGGACUCUUUGCGGUUUUAUUUAUAUGUAUUUCCAUAUUUCAUUCCUGUAUGUCACUGCUGCAUUGGUGUGGCAGCAAGUGACCAAAUGCUACAGGUCUUACUAUGGACACCAGGUCAGGUGCAACUACACAAAACAAAGCCAGUUCCAUGAGCUGCCUAUGAUAUGCAUUGCGGAAGUAACAUUUUACCCAGGGUGUGCCGUUGCAGUGAUAUAAAUAUAUUUUUUUUCUUAGACUAAAUAUGAGCUGACUAUCUCUUUUGAUGUGUGUACAUAGGUGUGAGUGUGUGUGUAUGCGUGCGUGUCUGUGUGUGGAUGUGGAUGUGUGUAGCCUCAUGCUUAGGACUACCCGUGAAUGUUAUGGAAUGCUACACCUGGAGAGUUCUAGUUUUCCACCGGUUUCAAGAUGAAGAACCACAUGAUGCAGUGGACCUGGAGACCGUCCCCUUGGAAAGACAACCCAGAGAUGUUCAGCAUCCUGGAUCUAUACGUGUAUUUUGUAGCCGUCACACUAACCUUAAUAAGAAUUCUACAGCUUUGGACAGAGGCAUUUUCACCUUAAUGGUGAAGUAAUUGAAAAUAUAAAUCCAUUCAGGUGACAACCCAUCGUCAAAAUUACACAUUCUGAUUGAACUCAUCUGAAUCAUCAGUUCCUCGACGGAGAGAGAGAAGGAGAUGGAAUGUGUUUGGUAACCCCAAAUGGAGUACAAGUAGCCUUUGUUUUCCUGCAUAAAUGGACUUGUUGAAUGCGAACAAAUAUAUGCAAUUCAUAUACUUUUGGAGAUGAACGUAGAUAUGUGUGUCAGCUUUGAGAUGGUGUGUCCUGGAUUAAUACUUUGUCUCCCAAUAUCACAGAAAAAUGCAUGCCAGUGACUCCUGAGGUUAAGGUCGUUGGGAUGAAAUGGCCUCAGGCAAUUUCAGAUUCCCUAAUUACCAGGAAAGUUCUACAGUAAUUAAUACACAGCUAACUCCUAUUGCCCUCACAAGAGCAUCAGCCUUCUAGGAUCAGAGCUCCGGAGUGUGAAGAUUCAGUAUUGAUAAGAUAAUGUAUACCAAACUCCAGCCAACUUACUGCCAUUUUUCAUAAUCUGAGUGGCUGCCUUGCUUAUCCUAAGCUAUGGUUGCAGAAACUGUGGCCAUUUAUAUAAGCUAUAACAUCAAAUCAGGGAAAAAUGAGGAAAAAAAAAUAGAUUCUGAACCAUUUAUUGUUGAAUAAGUAGAGAAAAUCAUCAAUAAAUAUUUAUUACAUUCUGACAGGGUGUGUGGCAUUGUAUUCUAUGCCAGAGUGACAAAGUUAAUUCACCCCUUUGUGGGGACCUUAAUAUGUUUUUUAAGGGAUGUGCCUAUGCAUUGAUGCCUGAAACAUAUGUAUAAAGAAAUGAGGUUGAAUCUCUGAACAGAUCAUCUUUUCCAGAGGUAAAGGUAGGAGGCCAACUUCAGGGUCUGGGUCUAGCCGUGAGCAAGCCCUGGCUGAGUGAGCUCUAAUGCUAACUCAUGUGCCGAUCUCUAGAGCAGCGGGAAACUACCCCACUGCACCAAAUCAAGUAGCUUCACCUUGUGUAUGCAGGCCCCAAGUUAUUUUUUAGCAAUCUUACGAGUGAAAUGUUCUGGUGUGUUGAAAAACGUUCUUAUUUUAAAGAAAGGUUGUGCUCACUACACUGCUGGUGUGUGCGUUCUGAGACCUCUUGUAUUCAAUCUGUGAAGGAUAUGUGUAUUAAUCCGUACACCCGUAUAGCCUCAAUAUUUGUCUGAAGACACUUAAAUUCUGACCCGUAAAGGAAAGUUCUAGAAGCAAUAUUUUCACUUAUUUAACAUUCUCCAAACAACAUCAUGCAUUGAUACACACUGAAGAGUGCAUUUAUUUUUUGUAUCACUCUAAGUAUGUUGGAAUAUGCAAGGACUGUGGUUAAAAUUAGAAUGUAUAAGGCAUAUUAUAAUUUAGUUCAUACUGAAAAAGAAAUUAACAGAACAUUGUUCGGUUCACACGUUCCAAAAUUUGAGUGAUUUCUUGAGUUAGACAUAGAUUUUCUAUUUUGUUUUAAUUUGUCAAGGUAUUUUUCUUCCCUUCAUGAACUUUAGGUACACAUAACUUAUGUCAUUUAUUUAUGGUCUUUUAUACCUAGUUUGUAAAAUUGUAAAAUAGCAAACUAAAUGCAGAGAGUUUGCAUUUGAAAAUAAUAAAGUAGUUGCCGUAUACAACCCUGCAA